GUGAAUAAAUGAAUGAAUAAAAGGGCGAGGGUGGACACUGCCAGGGCUCAGGUUCCUGGGAUCUAUGACUCUGAGCUCCCUGUGGGCCAGGUGAAGAGGUUAUCUGGACUCAGCACUAACCCGGGAGCAUGGUUAUGGCCUCCCAUGCCCAAGAUGCCCACGUGCAGAUUCCCAAGAAGCUGUGUUUAUUGAGUGCACAUCAUGCCAGGUGCCUCUGUCCUAUACUCCUACGUUGCCAACCUUCCUAAAGGAUGCUGUGGAGCCAAUGAGGUUGCUGGUGGAGAGAUGGAGAGGGGUGAAGUGGAAGAGCAGCGCUUCUGGCGUCUUCUGGCAAUCUAAAAACCUACCACUGGACCACUGACUUGUUGACCCAUCA